rnacentral:rRNA from 1 species
UACUGACGCUGAGCUCGAAAGUAUGGGUAGCAAACAGGAUUAGAUACCUGGUAGUCCAUACCGUAAACGAUGAAUGCUAAGUGUUGGAGGGUUCCGCCUUUCAGUGCUGCAGCUAACGCAUUAAGCAUUCCGCCUGGGGAGUACGGCCGCAAGGCUGAAACUCAAAGGAAUUGACGGGGGCCCGCACAAGCGGUGGAGCAUGUGGUUUAAUUCGAAGCUACGCGAAGAACCUUACCAGGUCUUGACAUACUAUGCAAAUCUAAGAGAUUAGACGUUCCCUUCGGGGACAUGGAUACAGGUGGUGCAUGGUUGUCGUCAGCUCGUGUCGUGAGAUGUUGGGUUAAGUCCCGCAACGAGCGCAACCCUUAUUAUCAGUUGCCAGCAUUAAGUUGGGCACUCUGGUGAGACUGCCGGUGACAAACCGGAGGAAGGUGGGGAUGACGUCAAAUCAUCAUGCCCCUUAUGACCUGGGCUACACACGUGCUACAAUGGAUGGUACAACGAGUUGCGAACUCGCGAGAGUAAGCUAAUCUCUUAAAGCCAUUCUCAGUUCGGAUUGUAGGCUGCAACUCGCCUACAUGAAGUCGGAAUCGCUAGUAAUCGCGGAUCAGCAUGCCGCGGUGAAUACGUUCCCGGGCCUUGUACACACCGCCCGUCACACCAUGAGAGUUUGUAACACCCAAAGUCGGUGGGGUAACCUUUAGGGACCAGCCGCCUAAGGUGGGACAGAUGAUUAGGGUGAAGUCGUAACAAGGUAACCG